GGGGUAGAAGCUGAUCGGGACAGCAGCCGACUGAAAAUCGGAAGGUUGUAGGUUCAAGUCCUGCCUACCCCA
rnacentral:tRNA from 1 species